ACUAUAAUAGGUAUAGUUAGGAUAUACUACUUACCAUUCCAAGUACAAGGAAUCACACAAGAGUCAGUUUAUUUAUGAGUCUAUACUAAUACAUCACAUACUAUAUGAAGAGAUACGAUUACAUACAAUUACAAGGCAUACAAAUUUCAAGACAUACAAUUACAAGAGAUACGAUUACAUAAGAUAGUGUACUAGAUAUUCAUGAAAUUUUACAUACUACAAGUACCAUAUCAAAGAGAUAUUUUCAUAUACAAGAACAAAUGGACAUUUUCAUACGUAAAUCUGUUUUAUACUAGGUUUUGUGAGACAUUUCACGUACUUUCGAGUAUGCAUUAUUAAGUCCUGUAUUAUAUACCAUAAUCCCUUGUAGGGGGAGCGUGAUACUUGUGUAUAGAUCUAUACGGGAUUGACAAUCCCGCACCUAAACUGUUAGCUACAGUUAGACCGGCAGGUCUGGGGUGACAAAUGUCAUAACAUUCCAACGCCUGAAGAACGUUGUUACAGGCAGUCUGGGUCAUUAGCAUGGUUAUAAAACUCACAUGGAGUAUUAAAAACACGUUGAUUUACGGGGUUAUCAUAUACCUUAGCGAUUAUAUAUGUACACAAAUCUACUAUUUUAGACAUGAAAAACAUCAUGGUAGUUCAUUUUUGGGACUUUUAAACUACUACCCACUUAUAAACAAAUAUUGGAUUUCUGAAGCAAACAUUCAAAACAGUCGGGUCUUGGUAGAAGGCUACAUUUUAUACUAGUAGAAAAUAUGGGAUUUUCUAGGGUUUUCAAACGUUUACAAUUACUUACAAACAUGUUCGUUGGUACGAACUUUCCUUCAAACAUUUACAGGUCUUUCUUUACAGCUUUACAAAUCAAAGUCACAUAAAUACUUAUGAAUUCACCAGCAUUAUUGCUAAUACUCGCUUUCAAAAUAACUUGUAUUCCCAGGACACGGAUAGACAGGUUCGACUACCAGGUUCUGUGAAGACGGAGCGAUCAAGACUCGUCUUUUAUUUUUGAAUAUUCAUUUUUGUAGAAUUAUACUAUGAAAGAACUCAAAUGUAAUUAAAAUUAUAUUAUUAAUGCAAUGGAUGAUGUUGUUGCUUGUUUACUACUUUGCAUUGUUGUGAUACAUUACAUGACGUCAUCCGCCCCAUAACGUUUCUGUCGUUCGCGGUUUUGGGGUGUGACAGAUUGGUAUCAGAGCAUUGUUUAUAGUGAAUUGAGUAUAUCAACCCAUAAAAGAUAUACAAACUAUAAAUACAAUAGGGAUUAAAAAUACUCUGACAAAGAGUCUAUACUUUUAGAUAAUAAAAUAUUUAAGUAUACGUGCCAUCAUUCAUACGAAAAUCAGUGUCACUAGGACAGAACAAAAGUAUUACGAUUGUUGGACAGCACAAGUAGACUUAGAGACAUAUAGUCAAAACUUGGAUGAUAUAGCCUGAUCAACUAUAUUAUCCGAGGGUUGACUAGCGUGUGCCUAAGUGUGGUUGUGAGUUGCAACAAGUCUAAAAACCUACCCAUAAUACCACAAUGAGAACAAUAGAACAUAAACCUAAAAUACUAUAGGAGUAUUUUGUGUAUUACUAUAAACUACUUAUGUGUUAGAUUCUUAUACCCCAAUUAUCGCAUAGAUAACAUAGCUGGACCCCAUCCCCAUGACGACCCGUAUUGCCCAAUCAAAGGCAAUGCUGGAUGGUUCAGAGAAGAACUAGAGAAUGAUCAUCCAAACCCUUUCGAAUGAUCACCAUGUUGAAGACCUUUCGGGUGAUGAUAACUCCGAACUCGAGGAUGAGAACCUACCCCCAGUAACUCCCACUUCAAACCCUAACCCUCGUCCAGCUCUUCAUGGCUCGACACUUCCUUGGGGAGAAUGCUUGGAAACAUGGAGCGAAGAGCAAGAUCAACCUAUGUCGUCUAAAGGAGACCGAAGCUGCUACAACUUAAGUGAAGGAAGCUCAGCAGGCAAAGUUCUACCAAUCCUGAUCCGUAGAGUUGCUCGAAACGAAAUUCAGGGCAGGACGACUCUCCAUUAUAUCGAAGAGGUUAAAUGCCAAUGCAAGAAUAAACACCAUCCACACCAAUCGUCUUGAAAACACUCGUGAGAGAUUUGAGAGAGACCAAGAGACCCUGCUGCAAGCAUUAGCUAAAACACGAGCCGAAGUUAUAGAGCUACGAGUAUGCCAGAGAGUGUACGAAAGACACCUUCUUCAUAAUGGAACGUCAAUUGGUUGAACUAAGUGUUCACCAGAAGGAUGAACGCCGCCAGUAAGAAAUACUUUAUUUCCCUUCCUUGUUUAAAGGAAUCUUUUUCCUAUGUAUGUCCUAUGUAGCAUUUUUCUAUGUAACUAUCUUGUACUGUAAGUACUGUUAGUUAGGCCCUUAUGCGGCCAAAACCUUUCUACUCAUGAUAUGAUGUAAGACCUUCUUCAAGAUUAAAUUUUCCUAAACUUAUUACAUCUUAAACACCGAUGAUAUUGACAGUCGGCUAACUUCCGUGUCGCUCUUUGUUCAAAAACUCUCAUCAUACCUUCGUUGGAGUCUAUCCGAAACAUGCUUUAGUCAAGUCAUUAGACUAUAGUAAUUUAACUCCGAAAACAUUUCCAAAGUCUCUUUUAGUAGUAAGAUCAUGUUAUUCACCAUCCAACGAUACCUCGGCUUGAACGACAAACGUCUUAAGACCACUCUACAAACAUACUUCUACUAUGUACUAGGACUACAUCAUAGGGAUGUAGGUCAAACUUUCGAGAACAUACUCUUACUCUUUACAUAAGCGAUCGAAGUACAUUUUGGGUCAACCAAAAUCGCUCACAAAAUCCUUUUUCGUUCGUGUUACAGAAUCAUGUCUUCGAAGAAAAGUAAUCAACCCAUCAGCCAAACACCAACUCUUCAGAUUGAUGCAGCUACCUUUCAAGCUGCAGUCUCAGCUGCCGUGAUAGCUGUUCUGACUCACCUUAAUGCUAACAACGCAAAUGUUAGCAGGAUGGUUUUCAAUAAUUCCAAUCCAAGUAACAACCAAGUACACCCACGAGUAACAAACUACCACGACACUCCGAACCUCAAACCAAAGAGUAAUAAACGAAAAUUCUGGGAUAAAGUUAAAGGCAAAUCACCUCGAGGGAUAAACAAGAAACCAUCACCAGUGGCAACCUUCGCAGCCACAACAUCUACAACUUCUACCACCAACACUACUAGUAUCCCAAUUAUCCCUAACCCGGCCAGACAGUAUGCUGGAAACCUACCGAAGUGCAAUAAGUGCAGCUUCCAUCACCUAGGUAGUUGUCGCCUGUUACACUGCAAGACCUGCAACAAGAACGGACACAUUGCCCGCUUCUGCAGGACUCGGGUCCAACACAUUACUUCAACCACCAAUGUUGCAAUUUCUCGGAUAUGCCAUCUAUGUGGUUUAAUGGGACACUUCAAGAGGGACUGCCUAACAGAGAAGAAUGACAGUGGAACAGGAGGAGUUUGAUCUCAGAAUGGAAAAAGGCAAUGAAGGACCCGACUAUAUUAGGGGCUCACUUCCAAUCGUCAGCAUUAAGUAUACUGUUAAACAUGUUUAAAACUAGUGCAACUAGAGUCUUAUCUUUUGAGAGAUCCCAUCAGAAAAGGGGACCCUCGUGCUGCGUAUACUUGCCUUUUGUAGUAUACCUUGUUCGCAAUAAUAGUCUUGUAGGAAAACCGAAGUAUUGUAACUCUGUUAAAAGUUGCACUGUUGUGUUUUGUCUGUAACACCUUUAUGAUCAAAUCUAAUACCUUUAUUUCCAAGUAAGUCUGAUAUCAUCAUACAACUUGACUCAAUUCGAUCCUCGCAAUACCAGUUUUGUGCUACUUCUCCUUCUCCGAAAAAAACGUCUUUCUAGCCUGUUGGGUGUAUGGUGUUGCGUCUUGGGCUCAACUCUUAGCCCUGUUUUGUAUCCGGAUUGGGCAUGUCCAUCCGUGAUUUAUUUAUUAGGGUUUAAGUAUAUAUAGGUGCUUGCAUGCAUCUUAGUACGUAACAUUCGGAAGUAGAUUUGAUAUCGUUUUAUAGUUAUCGAUUGUAAACCCUAAAGCCUCUACAACGGAAGUUCUUUGUCGAGCUCUGCUGAGGCUUGAAUCAUUUGAAUCAUUAAGCAUACUGUUGAUUCCAUCUCUUGUUUAUUUCUUUGUUUGAAUCGUUUUGCCAAACCUGUGUAAGAUCUAAACGAUCUAAGAGAUUAAUAUCUCAUCAAUUGGUAUCAGAGCAGGAGGCUGUGUAAUUCAUACACAUCUCUUCUGUCAUAGAAGUGAUUAGGGUUUAUUCUGCAUGCAUUGAUAUUUAUUGAGCCAUCACUCCAUUAUUGACGUAUCUCAUUAAUUAUUAAAAUCUGCCCUAAUAUUACGUAUUACAAAGUCUGAUCUUAUAACAGGUUAAAUGAUCAAGCAUGGACGAUUCUCAAUCCAAUCCAAUCAACAUUUCUAACACCAUCGGAUCAACAACCAAGAUUCCAAUCCUCUACACUCAAGAUUAUGAAGUGUGGACGCAUCAUUUUGAAGACUACGUUAUUGGAUCAGAGGACAACAUGUAUCUUAUAUGGGAAGCAAUCGUAAAUGGCCCAUUUGCUCAUUCAAAGACUUCAAAAAUCAUUAAAACUCAAAAAGAGUACAAUGAUCUGUUGAAAGAUGUAAAUGACGUCGCUCAGGACGAAAAGGAGAAGUUUCAAUGCAACAUUAAGGCAUUGAGACUAAUCCGGUUUGCCCUUCAAUCCGACACGUUUCGUUUGGUUAGUUCAUGUAGUACAGCGAAGGAAAUCUGGGAUAGGCUGAGAGAACUGUAUUCGACAGAUGACGACCUUGAGCACUCGAUUCAGACCCUUCUUCUCUCUAAAUUUGGAGAGUUCAAGCAAAAGCCAGAGGAGUUAGUUACACAAAUGUUCGAUCGAUUCAAGCAUCUUCUCAUUAAAAUGAUCAAACAUGACAUUGAAAGAAAGCUGAUCGAACAGAAGGUUACUUUUUUAAAUGGUCUAAGAUCUGAAUGGCGGGCGGGCGUAUCCACAGUUAAAGCACAUGAACAGUUUAAAUCUUAUUCACUGGCGAAAGUAGUAGGAAUUCUGAAAUCCCAGGAAAAGACGGUGUUGCAAGAAAAGAGUGUGGUCACAAACUUGGGAUCUUUGGUCCUUCUGUCUAAAAGUAAGAAUGCAGUAGAAGACGAAGAUCCGGACCUAGGGGACUACGAUCUAACUUCAGAGGAUUAUGCAAUGAUGGUAUCCAAUCCCACAAGGUUCAUUAAGAAGAAGUUCCCUACCAAUAAGAACCGAAAUUGGUAGGGCUACUACAGUUCUGAAAAGGUGAAGGAGGAGUCGAAGACUGAAGAACCUGAGAAAGAGGCGAAGAUGGAAGCUGAUUAUGGUGUCAACUGUUAUUACUGUAGAGGAAAGAAUCAUUACGCCAAAGAUUGUGUUUUGAAGAAAAUAACGGAAAAAGAUGAGGAGAAAGAUGAAGAAGCAAUUCUCCUGAAAAAGCAGGAGGAGAUUAAAAAGAAGAAAGCUGCUACUAAUCCCUCUAUGAAUGCUCUUAUUGUGCAGGGUUCAGCAAAUGAUGAUGAGUUCGGGGGCGUUCAAGUUUGGUCAACCGACUCAGAGGAUGAUGAAGUGAGAAAGCCUUCUCAUGGAAAGGCUUAUGUUGCGAAGAGUGAUGAUGUUAGUGGAAGAUGUUUCAUGGUGACGGAUGUGUCUCAGAUGAGGGGAUACAACACUGACGGUGGAAAUGAUGCAACCAAGGAAAGAGAGGAUGUAUGCUUUACUACAAAGCCUCUCAGUGUGCAGAUCAAUGAACUUGACGAAUUGAUCAAGAAGGUACAAUCCAUUUUUAUUUCGUUUAAAGUUCCACAAGUAUCAUACGAAAAAGAAUUAAUAAACUUGAACUUAAGAAUUUCGAGUCUAGAUAGCUGUUUAACUCAAACACGGGUCACAAAUUCUAAUCUAACUAACCAAAUGAGCAGGGUGUCAUCCAAAAGUAAGGAGCAAAGGAUGUGGAUUGAGCAGAAGGAGUCGGAGCUAAUUAAGUCUAGAGAUGAAAACAUUUAUUUGCAAAGAGUCAAUUUGAAAAUGUUAAAACAAAGGAAUGUUUUUUCUUUGAUUGCUAAAAGACUUUAUGCUAACAUUACUCAACUGCAUCUAAAUUAUGAAAUAGGGCAGAAGAUACAUCGCAUGAUUCUACCCUUCCUUGAGUUUAAGGAGGAUGAAAUCGAUGCCGAAGCAUACAACUGUGAAAGUCUUGUAUCUUCCGAUGAUGUCAAUCCCACUUAUAUGUAUGGUCUAGAUAAAAUAGAAUCUUUUAUAAAGUCCAAAGAUCAUAAGGACAUGCUUAAAAAUCUUUUGGAUGAAAAUCUCUAAUGGUGGAUUUAAAAGUAAUUGUGUAGAGCAAGAUAAAGAUUUGUUAAAACAAUUUAUUAUCAUCAAAGAAUACUUACUUUUGAAGCAUAUAGAACAGAAGUCAGAGAAAGAAAGAAAAGAAAAAGAAGAUGUUCUUGAUAUUCUUGAAGAAGUUCAUGAUGUUCUUCAACGUUCUGAAGAAAAAGCGACUCCAGAUGUUCUUGUUGAGGGGGAGUCAAGUGUUUCAAGUUUUUUAGAAGCUUCACAAUCCGAAUCUAGUUGUUCUGAAAAAGAAUCUCAAAGUAUAUCUCCGGAAAUAGUGAAAGUGAAGGAGUUUUGCUCUAAUGGAACAACUACAGGUGAUCAGAUUCAGAAAGAUGAAAAGGUUGUUCAAAUCAGAAAUUUGUUUCUGAAGCCUAGAAAUAAGAAAAGAAAGAAGAAGAGAAAGAACAAGAGUAAAAUGAAGAAGGUUUGGAUGCCCAAGGUACAAGUAACCAAUGCUUGUGAAAAAGUUCAGAAAGUUGAAGUCAAGAAUGUUCAAAAGAAAUUCCGUUCACACUUUUCUUCAAAUGAAUAUGGUAAAAGUUGGAGAAAAGAGAAAAGACUAUUUGGUUGGUUUAAUGAAGUUUUUGGAAAUUUUUGUUUUCCAACUAAAAAGAGGGUAUUAUUUUCAGAGGAUGAUAUAUUUUCUUCAAAUAAGUGGGUGUGCAAGAAACCAACUUCAAAGUUGAACCUUAAAUGGGUACCAAAAGUCCCAUAAAAUUUUGUUCUCUAUUUAAAAAAACAAAAAAAAACAAAAAAAAAAAACAAAAAAACAAAAAUGGGGACAAAAUCUUGGUGAAAUCUGGUGAAUAUUGGGUCAAAGAUAUGAAAUCUUAUUGAAGAAAUCAAAUUUAUUGUUUUUUUGUGUGUUGGAAUUGACAAAAAGCUGAAAAAGUUGAAAAAUGGGUGAAAAGUGUCAUUAUUCUGCAAAAAUAAAGCUGCUUUCUGACACUUUUCUGCUUAAAGCGUAUAAAUUGUAAAUUUGUUGUAACAGGAGGGGUUGCUUCCAGAUUUAAUCUCAAUAAAAGGUUCUGUUCUCAACUAUGAAUAUGUAAAGGGAUGAAUGUGUCACUUCACUGAUUCUCUAGGGGCCAAAAUCAUAACUUUGGUAUAGACUUCCAAUUUUGCAAUUAAUCGUAGUGUUAGUGUUCAAGGUUUCGUUUGUUCAUUUGCAGUCGGCAUACUGUAUAUCUAUGUUUCUUUGAAGCCGACUAAAAAACGAAAGUCUCAGUCAAGAAGGAGAUUAUGAACCGAACUCAUAGAGGCGAACCUCACGAAUAAGAACCGAACUCAAGUUAAAGAAUCGAAACUCAGAUUAAGAACCGAACCUCACAAUUAAAGAACCGAACUCUCGAUUAACAACCAAACCCGAAUCUACUGUUCACAACCGAACGUUCGGUUGAUUUCGCUUUCGGUUGUGUAAUUGAUGAAGCGAACCUGCAACUGUAUUUGAAGCGAACCUAAGAACCGAACUCAAGAUUAAGAAGCGAAACUCAAUUGGAACCAAAAUAGACCGAACGUUCGGUCUAUUUUGCUUUGGGUAUGAAAUUGAAGCGAACUUGCUCUCGGUCCUUUGGUUCAUGAACAUUCAAUUGGGAGCGAUAGGAACGAAUCUGGAUUCACAGUUGGAACCGAAUGCCACAAGAGGUGAAGGUUGGUUCGUCAAGAACCGAACUCACCAGAACCUUACAAUCAAGAAGCAAAACUCAUAGGAGCGAGAGGUCAACGAUUCCGGGCUGCCUUGAUUUGCACCAUUGAACUUGCAGCGAACCUUGUCGAUGUUUGUAAACUCAGUUACUCUCGCUCAAAUCAAGAGAGUUCGAUUUCAAAUGUGAAUACUGAAAGCAAAACGAAACUGAAAUCGGGGUUCAAGCGAAUUGAAAUCGGAAUUUUUGAUGGAAUUAGAUGUCAAAAAUCGUCGGCAUCAUGAAGUCGAUGUUUGAUAUUUUAUAUAAUCGGCACUCCAAAUCUGAUAACGGGUCUUCUAGCUUGUGAAUUUGACACUGGGAAAUAGGAACAAAAAUCAGUCGACGUCAUUAUUCUAAAUCGAUUUGGAUUUUGUUUGAAAACAGAAAUCAGAAGUAUCAAAAGCGAUUUGGGAUUUAAACCAAUCAAACUACGAUCGGAAUCUAUUCAUCGUUAUAAACAUCAAAGUUUCGAGAAUCAAAAUUGAAUACGGAAUUGGACUGACUCGGAAUCAGAUUUUACAAAUCAAAAUCGAAACUUGAUAUUGUAAUCGGAACUAUUUGCUUGAAUGAUGUUUGUGUUCUUCUGCAAUUUCAAAUGGAGCUUCAAUGGGUUCGUAUCAGGAGUAAAUUUCUAAGCGGGAUCUAUUUGGACUUUUUAAAAGUCAAAGAAACUCCGUUCUCUAAAUGAACGAAGAAGAUGACUCAAUGUUAUUUCUUUUAGCGUUAAAAUGAAGCAAUGGGAUAUAUUUUCAUCUUUAUCCCCCUGACUUUCAGAACUUCACCGAUUUAACCACAUAUCCCAAAUUCUUUCCAAACUUUUCGGAUUUUUACCCAUUCUUUCCAAAAUAUUUUCAUUUCUUAUCCUUUUCUUUGGUCUUAUUCUUUUCAAACCCUUCUAAAAUAAUUGCUUCUUAUUCUAUUCUUUUGUCUAAAUUUAAAUAUUGGAAAAUACCAAAUUAAGUUUUGUUAUUUUUCCGGUUUUAAUUUUUGAGAAAUGGGUUUAUUCUAACGGGAUUUAUUUCAUUAUAUCUGACGGGUUUUGAAGAUUGUGGGUGAUACUUCUUAACUUUCCGGAUUCUCUCCAUGGUAUUUGUUGAAGAUUCAAGGGGGAGUGAUGAUUAUUCAAGGGGGAGUUCGUAUUUGGAAGAUUAUUUCUAAUUCUCUCGUUUUGAAGACCCCAUGUGCUGAUAAGUAUCACAAUUUAGGGGGAGAAAUGCCAAGAAGAUCUGAAAUCGUGAUCUUCAUCAGUUUCAACAUCUAGGGGGAGAUUGUUGAGUAUUUAAGAUAUUGAAACUGAUAUGGCAUAUUUGGUUAUUUAGGGAAGCCUUUUUAGGGUUAAUCAUUUUAUGAUUCCCUACAGUGCCUUUGCAGUAGAAGUUCUUAAUCGAGCUCUGCUAAGGCAUUGGUUUUAUAUUAGGCUUUUAUUUUAUAUUUAUGGUAGAUAUUUAUUGUUCCCUAUAAAUAAUCAUUAGGUUUACUUUUGGUGUAAGGUUUUUACCAUAUUAGGGUUUUUCUCUGUACGUUCAUGAGAUAAUCAAUAUACAAAAACCCUUUAUCAGAUUACUUGCAUAUUAUGGUGAUUGAUUCUUGAUUGUUCAUGAUAUUCCGCAUUCGUCAUCUCAGAUUUAUUCCCAAGAAAGCCAAGCCGUCAUUCCAGAACACCGAAGUACUCAUGCAUAGAGUACCUCAUGUUUCUUAUCCUUUCCAAAGAAACCUCAGCAAACCUCCCCAAAGUACCACUCAUGCAGUACGUCAAGUUCAAUCCAAAGACCCACCUUUUCAAUCUUAAUUAUAUACAACUCGUAUACCCGAGAUUGUGAUUGAUAAACCACGUAUGAAUUCUACUAUGAACUUCAAAACAAACACUGCCCAAGACUACGAGUGAUCGUGCUUCCGUAAGAAUAAACUUAGAAAUACCUAUCCUUUUCACUAAUUCAUGAGUAGUCAUGCUUUCUUUUAGAUCUUCACGACAGCUAAUCCACCCCAAGGUUUGGACAUCAUAAUCAGUAGGAGUUGGUAAGUCUACAUCGAGCCGACAUCAGGUGCUUUGAUAAAGCAGUUCGUCCUAACCUCCCUAAACAACGAAGCCCUAGUUAUUUACAGCCAUGAACCAAGUACGAACCCUCUCAUCAUUUCGUGUAUGCAAGCUCAGAAAUGCUUAUGAAAGGAAUAUUGUCACACCCCGAAACCGAAGGCGGAAACGUCUCGGGGCGGAGGUGAUUUCAUAUGAAUCAUAACCAAUGUACAUAGUAAGCGAAGUAAAACACAAAACAUUACAUUACAUAGAUUUCAUUACAUCAGUUGAAAAGUAAAGUAGUACAAGUUUCAUAGAUAUAUAGUUUAAACAAAAGAAAGACGAUUCUUCUACGCACUCCGUCUUCACCAAAAGAGAUCGUCGGGUACCUGUCUAAAGUGGACCUGAGAAUACAAGCGGUUUGAAAAUCAGCAUAAAGCUGGUGAGUUCAUAAGCGGUUUGUUUUAUGAAAAGAAUGAGUUCCUUUAGUUUCCUGAAAAAGUGGUUAAUCAAGAAAAUCCCAUAUUUUCUCAAAAGUUAGCUACCAAAUUCAAAUUGUAAUGUAAAAGAUUUACAAUGAAAACAUGGUUGUUCUUAUGAAUUGUAAACUUUAGUUAUCUAACUUGCUACACUUUUCUGGUUACGAACUACUGCUACUCAGGAAAAUCCUAUAUUUUCCUACAUGUGUAAGUGUGAACUAUUACUGGUUCUGUGUGAGCUAACUGAUAUUGAUUCCGAUUAUGUUCAUUAUUAUCCUUAGGAAAAACCCCAUGUUUUCCUGAAUAUGUGUGUGUACGAUUACCAAUUCUGUGUAUGCUAACUAUUACCGAUUCUGAUUAUGUUCAUUGUUAUCCAUAGGAAAACCCCAUGUUUUCCUGAAUGUGUGUGUGUACGAUUACCAAUUCUGUGUAUGCUAACUGUUACCGAUUCUGAUUAUGUUCAUUGUUCUCCCCAGGAAAACCCCAUGUUUUCCUGAAUGUGUGAAUGUGUGUGCCUGUCAUCCUUGAACAUACAUUAGCUUUACUAUGUACAUAAAGCUAGUAAAUGAUUCUAAAGCGUUAAUAAUCUAGAUUGCGAGUCCUUAACCAUACUCAGACUAGAUAUGACUCGAGUCGUGGCCAGUAUCCUUUUUAUGACUUUCAUCACCCUUGAACCUUUCGGUUCGGCUGUAGCUAGCAGCCAGGUGCAGGAUUGUCAGUUCCGUAUAGAUCUAUACACUCAAGUCACGCUCUCCUACGUUCGGAUAUUCUGGUUACAGGGGUAGUCCUCCACUCUCGUGCCACGGGACGUGUUACAAAGGACGUGUCUCCAAUCUUUAAGAUUACUCAUUACUUCUCGCCUAGGAGAAGUAGUAUCUACGACUAACUAAGUUCUAAUGAGCCUGUCCUUUACACUCAAGCCUAGGUGUUAUAUUAAGGACGUUACGAAUGUUCUAUGUUUUCUAAUGACGACUAUCCAUUUACACUCGAGCCGAGGUGCAUUAUUAAAGACAUUACAAUGUUCUAUAUUAUCAAAUGACUGUUGUCCUUUACACUCGAGCCUAGGUGUAUUAUUAAUGACAUACCAAAGUUUUAUGUGUUCUUUAUGGUGUCUGACUUUUAUACUGGUACCUAUUGUAUUUUAUUAUAGACUUUACAAUUUUUUAUGUUUUCUAUCAAUAUAAGUAUGAACAAUCAAAUGUGAAGUAUACAAUAUUACAGUAUAUAAUAAGAAUUGAAAAUCGGUGUUUAAACAAAUAACUCUGCAAGUUAAAAUAGUUUGUUAAAAGGGUUUUAAAUCCUUAAAAAUGUACAAGUAUGAAACCAUUUAACUAAAAUCAUAAGUUUAAGUACAAGAUAUUCUUGUACUCUUGCUUCUAUUCCCCCCUGAAAACAUUGAAAAUUCAUUGAAAAAGGGUAGGGGUAUGAACUCACCGGACGCGGAAAUGUGUCGAAUGGGAUGCUAAACGUCGAACCGAGGCUUGAAUACGAGCGAUGCUCCUAUGUAAUAUUAAUNAUGAUAAAUGAUACACAAAGGUAUCUAAUUAGAAUUUAAAACACUAAUCAGAUACGAUUUUACACUCCAAGACGCGAAAACACUUCAAAUUAAGUGUUUGGAGUGACCCGGGUGACUUUUCUGGACAUGAAUGGCUAGGAUAUGGAGUUUACUCUCCAAGAGUAAACUCUAGGGAGUGUUCAAGGCCUUAAAAACCUCAUCCCCAUGAGUUUACAGCCGUAAAUUUCAAGACAUACAAUUACAAGAAAUACGAUUACAUAAGACAGUGUACUAGAUAUUCACGAAAUUUUACAUACUACAAAGUACCAUAUCAAAGAGAUAUU
rnacentral:lncRNA from 1 species